rnacentral:lncRNA from 1 species
AGAAAAGGAAUUGUCUUGGACAGAGAGAAAUGACUUAAAACAAAAAGCUGGGAGGCACAGACACAGACAUGAGAUACAAAUACAACCGGAUAUGGAUAAGCCGAUAUGACAAACCUUGAAGAAGUAGGACAUGAUAUGACUAGGAUACUUCAAAUGAAGAUACAUGCAUCCACACAUACAUGUAUGUGUAUAGGAUUAAGUUAAAGUUACACUUGGUGUAGCUCUUAUGGAGUUACACUUUUUUGGAUUGGAUGAUAGGGGUUCCACAUUGAUGAUCCGAG